rnacentral:rRNA from 1 species
UAGGGAAUCUUCCGCAAUGGACGAAAGUCUGACGGAGCAACGCCGCGUGAGUGAUGAAGGCUUUCGGGUCGUAAAACUCUGUUGUUAGGGAAGAACAAGUACAAGAGUAACUGCUUGUACCUUGACGGUACCUAACCAGAAAGCCACGGCUAACUACGUGCCAGCAGCCGCGGUAAUACGUAGGUGGCAAGCGUUAUCCGGAAUUAUUGGGCGUAAAGCGCGCGCAGGCGGUUUCUUAAGUCUGAUGUGAAAGCCCACGGCGUCAACCGUGGAGGGUCAUUGGAAACUGGGGAACUUGAGUGCAGAAGAGAAAAGCGGAAUUCCACGUGUAGCGGUGAAAUGCGUUAGAGAUGUGGAGGAACACCAGUGGCGAAGGCGGCUUUUUGGUCUGUAACUGACGCUGAGGCGCGAAAGCGU